CGUGUAGGUGGUCUGUUAAGUCUGAUGUGAAAGCCCUGGGCUCAACCCAGGAAGUGCAUUGGAAACUGGCAGACUUGAGUACGGGAGAGGAAAGUGGAAUUCCGAGUGUAGGGGUGAAAUCCGUAGAUAUUCGGAGGAACACCAGUGGCGAAGGCGGCUUUCUGGACCGAUGCUGACGCUGAGACGCGAAAGCGUGGGGAGCAAACA
rnacentral:rRNA from 1 species